rnacentral:rRNA from 1 species
UACGUAGGGUGCGAGCGUUGUCCGGAAUUACUGGGCGUAAAGAGCUCGUAGGUGGUUUGUCGCGUUGUUCGUGAAAACUCACAGCUCAACUGUGGGCGUGCGGGCGAUACGGGCAGACUAGAGCACUGCAGGGGAGACUGGAAUUCCUGGUGUAGCGGUGGAAUGCGCAGAUAUCAGGAGGAACACCGGUGGCGAAGGCGGGUCUCUGGGCAGUAACUGACGCUGAGGCGCGAAAGCGUGGGGAGCAAACAGG